CACGUAGGGCGCAAGCGUUGUCCGGAAUUAUUGGGCGUAAAGAGCUCGUAGGCGGUCUGUUGCGUCCGCUGUGAAAACUCGGAGCUCAACUCCGAGCCUGCGUUCGAUACUGGACGGCUAGAGUCUGGUAGGGGGAUCUGGAAUUCCUGGUGUAGCGGUGGAAUGCGCAGAUAUCAGGAGGAACACCGGUGGCGAAGGCGGGGAUCCUGGGCCAGUACUGACGCUGAGGAGCGAAAGCGUGGGGAGCAAACAGG
rnacentral:rRNA from 1 species